AACUGAGACUGGAAAUGCUGACCUCACCUCCGCAUUCCUCAACCAUUUGUCAUCCGAUUGCAGAUCAACUGGUGAGAGGCCUGCCUCUAGUCUCCACUGUCACUUUGGUGGAGAAGAGUGGGAAUGGAAGAGUACAGUUGGCUAUAGCUAACUAGCUGAAAUAAUGAUCGCGGCUUCCCUUAGUAUCCAGUCUUCUCAGCUUUCUACGUAGCUGUCACUACUUCACCCUGGAACGUCAAGCCGAGAGUAUGAAUCUCGGAGUGCAUUUGGACAUACCAGCUCUGUGUCACUUUGCCGCGGUCAUGGAGACAUCUCUCCUGGAUCCCAGCACUGCUCCAACGUGGACUGGUUCAUCUUUGCUCUUGCGCACCUGUCUUCUUGGCAUCUUUCUUGAGCACCAUCCUGAACUUUCCCUUCAUUUUCUGUUGGAUCCCUGUUGCCUGGAUGCUGGAUCUUUCCCUCCCUCCCUCCCUCCUUCUCUCUCUCUCUCUCUCUCCUUUAUUCUCCUACUGGUUGGCAAAUACUCCCCUGGAAACUUAACUUGAAAU